rnacentral:rRNA from 1 species
GAUGAACGCUAGCGACAGGCCUAACACAUGCAAGUCGAGGGGUAGCAUGAAAGUAGCAAUACUUUUGAUGACGACCGGCGCACGGGUGAGUAACGCGUAUGCAACCUACCUACUACAGGGGAAUAGCCCGAAGAAAUUCGGAUUAAUGCCGCAUAAUACAGGGGCACCGCAUGGUGAUAUUUGUUAAAGAUUAAUUGGUAGUAGAUGGGCAUGCGUUCCAUUAG